rfam:Astyanax mexicanus Tnplaced_Scaffold_178, whole genome shotgun sequence.
GGCUCCAUAGCUCAGUGGUUAGAGCGGUGGUCUACAAUACCAGAGGUCACAAGUUCGAUUCUCGUUGGAGCCU